GACGAACGCUGGCGGCGUGCUUAACACAUGCAAGUCGAGCGGAAAGGCCCUGCUUUUGUGGGGUGCUCGAGUGGCGAACGGGUGAGUAACACGUGAGUAACCUGCCCUUGACUUUGGGAUAACUUCAGGAAACUGGGGCUAAUACCGGAUAGGAGCUCCUGCUGCAUGGUGGGGGUUGGAAAGUUUCGGCGGUUGGGGAUGGACUCGCGGCUUAUCAGCUUGUUGGUGGGGUAGUGGCUUACCAAGGCUUUGACGGGUAGCCGGCCUGAGAGGGUGACCGGCCACUGGGCGGCGUGGCCCACUCCCACGCUACCGGGAGAGCAGGCAGGGGGCAACGAGGCACAAGGGGCGGCAGCGCGAGGCAGCGGAGCCGGGGGCGGGGCGACGCCUGCGGGGUUUACCCCCGCUGUCGCCGGUGACGAGGCGAUAGUCACGUAAGUGGACAAAGAGUAACGUGCUACCUACGUGCCAUCAGCCGCGCUAAUAAGCAGAAACCCACCCAUCUACCC
rnacentral:rRNA from 1 species